GUGAGGAAUAUUGGACAAUGGGCGCAAGCCUGAUCCAGCCAUGCCGCGUGCAGGAAGACGCAUCUAUGGUGUGUAAACUGCUUUUGUACGGGAAGAAACACUCCCUCGUGAGGGAGCUUGACGGUACCGUAAGAAUAAGGAUCGGCUAACUCCGUGCCAGCAGCCGCGGUAAUACGGAGGAUCCAAGCGUUAUCCGGAAUCAUUGGGUUUAAAGGGUCCGUAGGCGGUUUAAUAAGUCAGUGGUGAAAGCCCAUCACUCAACGAUGGAACGGCCAUUGAUACUGUUAGACUUGAAUUACAAGGAAGUAACUAGAAUAUGUAGUGUAGCGGUGAAAUGCUUAGAUAUUACAUGGAAUACCAAUUGCGAAGGCAGGUUACUACUUGUGGAUUGACGCUGAUGGACGAAAGCGUGGGGAGCGAACAGGAUUAGAUACCCCGGUAGUCC
rnacentral:rRNA from 1 species